rnacentral:rRNA from 1 species
CCCUUACCGGGGUUGCGGACAGUGUCUGGUGGGUAGUUUGACUGGGGCGGUCUCCUCCCAAAGCGUAACGGAGGAGCACGAAGGUUAGCUAAUCCGUGGUCGGACAUCAGGAGGUUAGUGCAAUGGCAUAAGCUAGCUUGACUGCGAGCGUGACGGCGCGAGCAGGUGCGAAAGCAGGUCAUAGUGAUCCGGUGGUUCUGAAUGGAAGGGCCAUCGCUCAACGGAUAAAAGGUACUCCGGGGAUAACAGGCUGAUACCGCC